GACGAACGCUGGCGGCGUGCUUAACACAUGCAAGUCGAACGAUGAAGCCGGAGCUUGCUCUGGUGAAUUAGUGGCGAACGGGUGAGUAACACGUGAGUAACCUGCCCUUGACUCUGGGAUAGCUGCGGGAAACUGUAGCUAAUACCGGAUACGACCCUCGGAGGCAUCUCCUGGGGGUGGAAAGGAUUUCGGCCAAGGAUGGACUCGCGGCCUAUCAGCUAGUUGGUGAGGUAAAGGCUCACCAAGGCGACGACGGGUAGCCGGCCUGAGAGGGUGACCGGCUACACUGGGACUGAGACACGGCCCAGACUCCUACGGGAGGCAGCAGUGGGGAAUAUUGCACAAUGGGCGCAAGCCUGAUGCAGCAACGCCGCGUGAGGGAUGACGGCCUUCGGGUUGUAAACCUCUUUUAGCAGGGAAGAAGCGAAAGUGACGGUACCUGCAGAAAAAGCACCGGCUAACUACGUGCCAGCCGCCGCCGCGG
rnacentral:rRNA from 1 species